rnacentral:lncRNA from 1 species
GCAGCUUGUGUUAGCACUAAUCUUGACGGAUGCGCGUGUGACCGGGUCGUGCGCAGCUGCCGGACCAAGUCCUGUGGCCGUUGUGGACAUAUUGCUUGAGUGGCGUACGUGUGCCUGCAUGUAGCUAGAUUAGUCGGGUCAGUGGCCGAACAUGGCGGCAGGUUAGUGCAUGCGUGGACUGGCUGGUGGGCAGAAGUGGAGCGAGCCGUGCGUGCGCUGCGUGCUCUGCCUAUAUAACCAUCACGUGUACUGCUUGUAUGAGUUUGAGCCAGCUGAAUACAGAAAAGAUUAGGGCGUUGGUGCGCCUGUGGCGGCGUUCGUCGCCGGCAAAAUUCUGUGUUGUCUCCCUUCUUCUACCUUUGUUCGUGCGAGUGAAAGAAGAAGAGAGGGGCUGCCCCUCCGGCAGCCCCAACAUUUGGUAUCAUGAGCUUGAUGGUCUUGGGCAUGUUCGUCGUACCGGAGGCGUACCGGCGAUGGCGGUGGUUGCCGGUGGCUGCGCGGAGCUCCGGGCUGUAUGUCGGCCUGUUGAGGUGCGCGGCGUGGCGGCUGUCAUGGCGGACGCGGAGUUGGCGCACAGUGAGGCCGUGGAGCAUGGCCAUGCAUGCCGUGCGUGCUGGGAGCGGGGCGGCCGCGGCGGACCUGCGUGGUGGCGCAGAGGCUGCGGUGGCGCGGCAUGGCUCGAUGGCGUGGAGGAGAAGCCGUUCGUGCGGCGGGUGAGGCAGCUCGAGCGGCCAUGUUGCUUGCGUCAGGACGCGGCAUGUGCGUGAGCCGAGGGUGUGCGGAUCAUCGGAGGAGAACGCGUCCAGCGGAGCGCAGGACGGCCGCGUCGAUCACGUCAGUGCGUGAUCGUGUGUGCGAGCCGGGGCGUGCAGGGCGUGGCGUCAUCGAGGUGCUCGGCGUUUGUCGCGUUGAAGAGGACAACCGGCGUAGGUUGCCGGAGCUGGAGAACGUCAGGCGUGCGCCGCCGGACAAGGAGCUCGGCGUGUGUCGCCGGAGACGAAAGGAGACGUUCAAGGCGAGGGUCGAUGGCGUGUCGUGUGAAAAUUAGGGGGGGAAAUAUUAGCACUAAUCUUGACGGAUGCGUGUGCGACCAGGUCGUGCGCAGCUGCCGGACCAAGUCCUGUGGCCGUUGUUGACAUAUUGCUUCAGUGGCGUACGUGCGCCUGCAUGUAGCUAGAUUAGUCGGGUCAGUGGCCGAGCAUGCCGGCAGGUUAGUGCGUGCGUGGGCUGGCUGGUGGGCAGAAGUGGAGCGAGGCGUGCGUGCGCUGCGUGCUCUGCCUAUAUAACCAUCACGUGUACUGCUUGUAUGAGUUUGAGCCAGCUGAAUAUAGAAAAGAUUAGGGCGUUGGUGCGCUUGUGACGAC